GUGCUCGCUUCGGCAGCACAUAUACUAAAAUUGGAGUGAUGUAGAGAAGAUUAGCAAGUCCCCUGCACAAGGAUGACGGGCAAAUUCAUGAAGCAUUCCUUAUUUUG